GUUUCUCAACCUUUUUAGUCUUAAUGUUUGCUCAUUUAAAGAGUUUCCUUUCAUUUUAAUUUCUUUGCAAGAUAAUAAGGAAUGUAAUAUAUUGAAGGGAGAAAAAUCAUGACACAUCUAAAGUUAACCUUUGUGUUGUUUUAUAACCAAAUAAAAAUGUCAGAGAA